GCGCAGAGGUGGAGGAAGUGGUAGAGGAUGAUAGUCCUUCCCUAGCGACAAGAACCCAUCCUCCUCCUCGCCCACCUCCUCCACCCACCAACUCUCUUGACUUGUACUACAAAGUAAGCUGCCCCCUCCUCGCUUGUGCUAUUUCGAGGAGACCAUGGCGCAGGAGCUAUAUUUGAAAUCCAACUGGAGGUAAACAAGACCGCAGCACGAGUGGAUGGAGCACAACAGCUGCGAGAGAGAGGUGAAUCGCCCCACGCGGAAGGAGAGCGGGGAGAGGCCGGGCUUGGGAAGGGAAGCCGUGCCCGGUCCACGCGAGAGAGACCACCAAGGGCGAAGAAGGGCUGCUUUCACUUCGAAUUGAACCCAAACAGGGCGCCCCUUCGAACCGCCCUCCUCCUUCUUCUAGAAGAGGACCUGGGGCCACCUCACCCUUACUAUUCCUUUGAAAUUAAAGAGGACCUAAUGUGUGGGUGAGGACAUACUUUGCCUUUCUCCAGGCAAAAUGUAGCUGCAUGGAUACUUUUGAUAUUUUAUCCUUUUACCUUCCUUGGAAGAUGAUCUUAGAAGGCUAGUUAGCUCCAAGACCCUUUUCUAUCGAGAAUGGAUUUCUUCUUACUUCAGUAAAUAUUUUGAACCUGAAGUUGUGACUUUUCAAUCCUGUGCCAUCCUGUUGAAUGGAAGCUAAUCCUGACUCACCACAUGUAAGUCUUGUCCUGGCAUUGAAUGUUUGUCGUAUAUAUGCUGUGCACCGCCCUGAGUCCCCUUCAAGGUGAGAAGAGCAGAAUAUAAAUGUUUUAAAUAAAUAAAUAAAUAAAUAUGU